UACGAAGGGGGCUAGCGUUGUUCGGAAUUACUGGGCGUAAAGGGCGCGUAGGCGGUCCCUCGAGUCAGGCGUGAAAGCCCCGGGCUCAACCUGGGAACCGCGCUUGAGACUGAUGGGCUAGAGUUCGGGAGAGGAUGGUGGAAUUCCCAGUGUAGAGGUGAAAUUCGUAGAUAUUGGGAAGAACACCGAUGGCGAAGGCAGCCAUCUGGACCGACACUGACGCUGAGGCGCGAAAGCGUGGGGAGCAAACAGG
rnacentral:rRNA from 1 species